CGAGGACGAACGCUGGCGGCAUGCUUAACACAUGCAAGUGGAGCGACGAACCUUUAGGGGCAAAGCCGCGAACGGGUGAGUAACACGUGGGCAAUCUGCCCAGUUGACUGGAAUAACUCUCCGAAAGGAGAGCUAAUACCGGAUGUGCCGUACCUACACAAGUAGGUCCGGUAAAGGUAGCUUCGGCUAUCCGCAAUUGGAGGAGCCUGCGGCGCAUUAGCUAGUUGGUGGGGUAAAGGCCUACCAAGGCGACGAUGCGUAGCUGGUCUGAGAGGACGAUCAGCCACACUGGAACUGAGACACGGUCCAGACUCCUACGGGAGGCAGCAGUGGGGAAUCUUGCACAAUGGGCGACAGCCUGAUGCAGCAAUGCCGCGUGAGGGAAGACGGCCUUCGGGUUGUAAACCUCUUUCAGUUGGGAUGAAGGUUGGCCGGUGAACAGCCGUGUCGAUUGACCGUACCUUCAGAAGAAGCUCCGGCUAACUACGUG
rnacentral:rRNA from 1 species